rnacentral:rRNA from 1 species
UAAGGAAUAUUGGGCAAUGGACGCAAGUCCGACCCAGCCAUGCCGCGUGAAGGAUGACGGCCCUAUGGGUUGUAAACUUCUUUUGUACGUGAAAAAACCCCUGAUCGUGUAUCGGGGCUGAUGGUACCGUAAGAAUAAGCAUCGGCUAACUCCGUGCCAGCAGCCGCGGUAAUACGGAGGAUGCGAGCGUUAUCCGGAUUCAUUGGGUUUAAAGGGUGCGCAGGCGGAAUGAUUAGUCAGUGGUGAAAUCCUACAGCUUAACUGUAGAACUGCCAUUGAUACUAUCGUUCUUGAGUACAUUUGGGGUGGGCGGAAUGUGUCAUGUAGCGGUGAAAUGCUUAGAUAUGACACAGAACACCGAUCGCGAAGGCAGCUCACUAAGUUGUAACUGACGCUCAGGCACGAAAGCGUGGGGAUCAAGCAGG